CAUGUCCCUAAAUUAGAAUACACCCUAUGUGUUAACUUCCUGCAUUAUUUCAACUUCAGCGAAAUUGCAUAACACCACAAAAUAAACUUCUAAAGUUCAGUCUGUUAUUACUGUCAACAGCUGUGUAACAGAUGAAUCUUAAAGUUUGUCCAUUGCAAAAAGCCCAAGCAUAUAGAGUAAACUUGGCCCAUCUUUCAUGCUGUGCAAUGUCAGAUAUCCUUCAUGAUGUCCAUCAUCCUUAGCCUUCAACUGUUCCCCAUCAUGCUAACAUGAUACCACAUUAAAUAACUGCACAUAAUCCAAGAUGGCCUCCCUGGCAUGCCAACUCCAGCCUUCUCAGGACCCCACUGCAAGCAUGCCGGACUUCCAACAUUCAUCAGAAGGAUCAAAUACACAAUUAAGACUUGGCGCUGUCCUUGCACAGCUGUUUUAGUUUUGGGAUCCUGGCAACCAUGUACCCUUCAAUCAAUUUAAUCUUGGACUGUCGUGCAAGACAAGGAUGAGAGCCGAAUCAUAUAGCAACACAGAUCCAUGCCGAGAUUCACCCGAUACAGUUGGAAUGACCCCUGACCCUAUUUAAGGACUGAGGAAAUCCCAAAAAGAAAUCAAACAGAAUCAAGAUGAAUCAAGAUGAACACGG
ensembl:lncRNA